rnacentral:rRNA from 1 species
CAAGUCGAGCGGGAACCUCAGGAGGGGUAACCCUUCUGAGGGGAGAGCGGCGAACGGGUGAGUAACACGUGGGCAACCUGCCCCGGACACCGGGAUAACCCAGGGAAACCUGAGCUAAUACCGGAUACUCCGGCGCGAUCGCAUGGUCGCGCCGGGAAAGCUCCGACGGUCCGGGAUGGGCCCGCGGCCUAUCAGCUUGUUGGUGGGGUAACGGCCCACCAAGGCGACGACGGGUAGCUGGUCUGAGAGGACGGCCAGCCACACUGGACUGAGACACGGCCCAGACUCCUACGGGAGGCAGCAGUGGGGGAUCUUGCGCUAAUGCGCGAAAGCGUGACGCAGCGACGCCGCGUGGGGGAUGAAGGCCUUCGGGUUGUAAACCCCUUUCGGCAGGGACGAAGGGAAACUGACGGUACCUGCAGAAGAAGUCCCGGCUAACUACGUGCCAGCAGCCGCGGUAACACGUAGGGGACGAGCGUUGUCCGGAUUCAUUGGGCGUAAAGCGCGCGUAGGCGGCUCGGAAAGUCGGGCGUGAAAUGCCGGGGCUCAACCCCGGGACUGCGUCCGAUACUUCCGAGCUGGAGGUAGGUAGGGGAGAUCGGAAUUCCUGGUGUAGCGGUGAAAUGCGCAGAUAUCAGGAGGAACACCGGUGGCGAAGGCGGAUCUCUGGGCCUUACCUGACGCUGAGGCGCGAAAGCUAGGGGAGCGAACAGGAUUAGAUACCCUGGUAGUCCUAGCCGUAAACGUUGGGUGCUAGGUGUGGGUGGACAUCGACCCCAUCCGUGCCGAAGCUAACGCAUUAAGCACCCC